GGGUGCGAUCAUACCAGCAGUAAUGCACCGGAUCCCUUCAGAACUCCGCAGUUAACCUGUGCUUGGGCGAGAGUAGUACUAGGAUGGGUGACCUCCUGGGAAGUCCUCGUGUUGCACCCC
rnacentral:rRNA from 1 species